GCCACACCUCCCUGGCUAUGAUUGAUAGAGCCUGCAUGGGAAAAAAACAAAAAACUGGUUUCCCUUUCAAACAGAUGUAAUUUACCUUAAAUAAUUGUAUUGCAAUCUCUAAAUUGAACUUUAAUCACAUACAGGAGGCUCAUGCAGGGUCUAGCAAGCUAUUAACAUAGCAGGGGAUAAGAAAAUCUCAAUUAAACAGUACUUGCAAUAAAGAAAGCCUAAAUAGGGCUCUCUUUACAGGAAGUGUUUAUGGAAGGCUGUGCAAGUCACAUGCAGGGAGGUGUGGCUAGGGUUCAUAAACAAAGGGAUUUAACUCCUAAAUGGCAGAGGAUUGAGCAGUGAGGCUGCAGGGGCAUGUUCUAUACAC